CUUACAUACGAGUCCUUGUUUUCUAGGUCGUUGAGGGCCAGAUGGAGGGUUGUGGGAAUGUGUGAAGCAUAAUAAGAAGACUGGGUCGGAUCCACAAAGCUGCACAUUCUUCGUGAAAAUGGACUCUGUUCUUGCUCGUCGUCUAAUAAGUAACCCAGGUGAUGGACAUAUGGAUGCGUCAAGUUCAGAGGAAGGUAAAAUCACUGGUAAGUUUGUGAAUUUUUCAAAUUUUCUAAAUUAUGUUUUGUUACAGGUACCAGUUCACCCAUCUAGUAUAGCAGAGCCAUAGGAGACAAAGCAGCUACAAUUACAGUGACUGAAGAUAACAGUGGUCAAAGGUAUUGGUCAGACCACCAAUACUGGCCAAACUUCCAUCAUUACAAGGCCUAAACGCAAGGGGGGGGAUUAUGGAAGCCAUACAGAUAGGAAUAAGCAUGUUAAUACAACAUGACAUACAACAGCAGCAGAGUUUGAACAGCAUCUUGAUAAGGAGCACAUGGUCUGGGAGAGACAGCUCCAGCAGGCCAGGUUGGAUCUGGACAAAGCACGUCUUGAAUUUGAGAUAAAACGCCAGGAAGCUGAAGACAGGCGUGCUCGAGAGACCCAGCAAUUCAUGGUUCAAAUUCUGCAAGUGCUUAGACCUGCAUUGCCACAGAAUGGCCCCUCAACUUCGUUUUGCACAAUAUCAACAUCCUGCUCAGCACUAUUAUUUAUCUGAUCUAUUUGCUUUUUCACCUGGAGAAGCCUCGCACCAAAAUCCGUCAACAACAGUUUUCCAAGAUCAACGCUCACUGUAUGACCAAAGAAAUGACCACUAGUUUUCUGGGCAUUGUUUAUUGCAAACAUUAUUGUGCAGUUGCACUUGUUUUAUAAUAAUUAAAAAAACUGUUCUAGGAACGGUAAUGUUGUGGAACUGAAUGUUUUUGCACUAUGCAACGUUUACAUUUUUGCACUUUAAUGUCUAAUGGUAAAUUGACUAUGUUAAACUCCAGUUUACUUUAAAAGUAAAGAGACAAAUGUGCGAUACAUGUCACAAGAUAGGAACAUAAGAUUUGUUACUUUUUUUUGGUUCUUACAAAAAGAGCCAUUUAGAAAAGUGCUUGAGAUA